rnacentral:rRNA from 1 species
UGGGGAAUAUUGCACAAUGGAGGAAACUCUGAUGCAGCGACGCCGCGUGGAGGAAGAAGGUCUUCGGAUUGUAAACUCCUGUUGUUGAGGACGAUAAUGACGGUACUCAACAAGGAAGUGACGGCUAACUACGUGCCAGCAGCCGCGGUAAAACAUAGGUCACAAGCGUUGUCCGGAAUUACUGGGUGUAAAGGGAGCGCAGGCGGGAAUGCAAGUUGGGAGUGAAAUCUACGGGCUCAACCCGUAAACUGCUCUCAAAACUGUAUUUCUUGAGUAGUGCAGAGGUAGGCGGAAUUCCCGGUGUAGCGGUGGAAUGCGUAGAUAUCGGGAGGAACACCAGUGGCGAAGGCGGCCUACUGGGCACCAACUGACGCUGAGGCUCGAAAGUGUGGGUAG